GGCCCUGUAGCUCAGUGGAUAGAGCAUCGGUCUUCUAAACCGAUGGUCGCCUGUUCGAUCCAGGCCAGGGUCA
rnacentral:tRNA from 1 species